CUAGGAGGUUCACCUGAGACUGCUAUAGUGCAAAUGGAAGACUGUCCUGACCAUGAUAUUCGUGAAACCAUAAAACUGCUUGAUGGAGAGGCUGAACUCACUAGCAGUGAAUAUCAAGCUGUCCUUGACCUGAGUCUUGCGUGGGAUCUUCCUGGCCCAACCAAAGAAAACCGGAAGUGGCUUUUUGAGCGCCUUUUAUCAUAUGCGGUCAUUGGAAGGAGAUUACGACAGGUGAAACAAAUACGUAAAGGACUCAAAGAAACCAGUGUGGCCACUGCUGACUGAAAGGAAAGAUGUGGAUAUCUUUCAGAGGGAAUGUGAAAAUUCACUCACCCCUUUGAUGCUGCUUCCCUGUAUCUGCUGGCCCUCUGAUAGCAGUGUGGAUGAUGAUGAUGAUGAUGACGACGACCACGAUUGUUCACUAGAAGAUAGAUGUCGCAUCUCAGGGUAUUUGCGUCACUUCAUUGAGACAGCAUCCAGCUCUGACCUUAAGGACUUGGUGAAAUUUUGGCUGGGGUGGGAAGUGCCAGAUAGAAAGAUGGUAGUGGAAGUUGUUACUGCUGACAUGCCGAAGUCCUCCACUUGCUUCAACAUGCUAUGAUUACCAAGUCAUUACAUGGAUUUCAGCCAUUUUAAGGACGUGCUCCUUAAGUGCACUGGCACGUCUGAGUUUGGUUUUGGGCUUGUAUAGUUAUGUGAAAUUGAAUACAGUAAUACAGACACCAUGUCUAUAAAUUAAGUUACAGUACCACAGUUUGUCCUGUGUUGUUUGGACUUGUUGGUCAAUUUUGAUGCAGUUCAUCUACACACACACGUUCAUGUAGAAUUGCGGUUUUAUUUUUGAGAAGGGGAAACCACUAUGCAAUAGUUUUCAACAGAGCAAUUUAGCUCUCCAUAGUGCCAAUGUACUUAAUGAAACAGUUCUUGAAAAAAAAGAAAAACAUUUAUUUUCCAUCAAAUAAAUUUACAUUCAGUUCCAGCA